UCUUCUCUUUUUCCCUGAUUCCUCUCACGCCGCCCACUCUCUUCCUCUCUCCCAUGCGAUCGCCGCCGACUCACUAUCCUCGUCGCGUGGUGCCGCCCCUUCAACGGUGCUGGCCCCCAGCCAUCGCUGCUAGCCGCGACCAGCGUUGUGGCUACCAUGGUCGGCCAAUCUCAUCACCGAUCGCGGGCUCGUGCGUCUCAGCCGCUGCGAGCAGCCAUCAGCCGCAACAAUCCACCAUCAACUGUCGUGAGUGAACGUCAGCCAGCCAUCGUCGCGUCGUUCUCUUCCCCGAUCUCCACCGACAGAGGCUUGAAACAUUGCAGGGGAGAAAUUUGUUGACUCAUCUAGCGCCACCAUUGGUUGUGGCUGUCUGCCCAGAUUUCUUCAAUUCCUCAAAUUCCUGCGCCAUCACCAGCUGCUGAGAGAAGAGCACUUGUGUUGCCUAUGGUAAAACAUCCCUUUGUAGUAAGAUUACUGGUUGCAGAGCUUCCAAAAGAUGGAUCUAGCCACAAGUUUAGGUUAGUGGGUAGAUGACAUGUCGUGUCAGUCAGAGGUCCUGGCUACCGAUCUCACGUUACAUCGAGACUUUUUAUUUCUGCUAUUACUCUUACUCGUAUUUUGGCUUUCCGAAAUAGUUCAUGUGUUGUAUAACUUAUGUGUGGAUUUCUUAACUUGUAGUGUCUUUUUUUUUCUAUAUGUAUUUGUUGAGUUAGGUCGUACCGGUACGCAACCCAGCCUAGUUCUUAUUUUACGUGGUUGUGUUUAUUUUCAGCCAUGUGGGCUGUAUAUAUUAUCUUGUAUUGCCUUGUGGCCAUA